AGGCAGCAGUAAGGAAUAUUCGCCGCAAUGGGCGAAAGCCUGACGCAGCGACGCCGCGUGGGGGAUGAAGGUCUUCGGAUUGUAAACCCCUUUCGGGAGGGAAGAUGGAGCGAGCAAUCGUUCGGACGGUACCUCCAGAAGCAGCCACGGCCAACUUC
rnacentral:rRNA from 1 species